UACGUAGGGGGCGAGCGUUGUCCGGAGUUACUGGGCGUAAAGGGCAUGCAGGCGGUCCGACGCGUUUUGGGUGACAGCGGGUGGCUUCACUACCCGAGCAUGCGAAAGACGGUUGGACUUGAGGACUCGAGAGGGACACGGAAUUCCGGGUGGAGUGGUGAAAUGCGUAGAGAUCCGGAGGAACACCGAAGGCGAAGGCAGUGUCCUGGCGAGUGACUGACGCUGAGGUGCGAAAGCCAGGGGAGCAAACGGG
rnacentral:rRNA from 1 species